ACGCUGGCGGCAUGCUUUACACAUGCAAGUCGAACGGCAGCACAGAGAAGCUUGCUUCUUGGGUGGCGAGUGGCGAACGGGUGAGUAACAUAUCGGAACGUACCGAGUAAUGGGGGAUAACUAAUCGAAAGAUUAGCUAAUACCGCAUAUUCUCUGAGGAGGAAAGCAGGGGACCUUCGGGCCUUGCGUUAUUCGAGCGGCCGAUAUCUGAUUAGCUAGUUGGUGGGGUAAAGGCCUACCAAGGCGACGAUCAGUAGCGGGUCUGAGAGGAUGAUCCGCCACACUGGGACUGAGACACGGCCCAGACUCCUACGGGAGGCAGCAGUGGGGAAUUUUGGACAAUGGGCGCAAGCCUGAUCCAGCCAUGCCGCGUGUCUGAAGAAGGCCUUCGGGUUGUAAAGGACUUUUGUCAGGGAAGAAAAGGCUGUUGCUAAUACCGACAGUUGAUGACGGUACCUGAAGAAUAAGCACCGGCUAACUACGUGCCAGCAGCCGCGGUAAUACGUAGGGUGCGAGCGUUAAUCGGAAUUACUGGGCGUAAAGCGAGCGCAGACGGUUACUUAAGCAGGAUGUGAAAUCCCCGGGCUCAACCUGGGAACUGCGUUCUGAACUGGGUGACUAGAGUGUGUCAGAGGGAGGUAGAAUUCCACGUGUAGCAGUGAAAUGCGUAGAGAUGUGGAGGAAUACCGAUGGCGAAGGCAGCCUCCUGGGAUAACACUGACGUUCAUGCUCCAAAGCGUGGGUAGCAAACAGGAUUAGAUACCCUGGUAGUCCACGCCCUAAACGAUGUCAAUUAGCUGUUGGGCAACUUGAUUGCUUAGUAGCGUAGCUAACGCGUGAAAUUGACCGCCUGGGGAGUACGGUCGCAAGAUUAAAACUCAAAGGAAUUGACGGGGACCCGCACAAGCGGUGGAUGAUGU
rnacentral:rRNA from 1 species